UCCUGGCAAUUAGUGUGGAGUAGAGUGACAUUCGACUCGCUCGCUCGGUCGCUCGGUACUAUGAACACUUCCUUCCCGUUAGCGGAACUCAUACGCAGCUACGAUUAACGUGUUUGUGACUUUUACAAAUUAUUAUACAUUAUAAAAAUCGCACGCUGAGAUCCGAGCACCCCAUGCAGGCUAAUUUAGUAAUAUACGAGCCUGGAGCCGCUCGUCCGGGCACAUCUCUCGCCUUUCAUAUCAUGGCUUUGCAGUUGCAGGACGCCAGUUUUUCAAUAAAAAAAAGUUCCACGUGACAGCGGAAGAUCGCUCAUUGUUAUCAGGAGAGCGGACGCGUGAGGGUAUGGGGGUGGUCUGGUACGGGGGGGGAGUGCUUAUCACAGACUGGCUCCAUUCAAAGGAGGAAACUUGUUCAGUCUCGCCGGGAUCAUAUUGUAUCACUAGAGGGUGUUGCUAACGAUCGAUGUAGAACAGGAAUGAUUAUUACAUACCUAUAGCACUCCACGCUGAGGAUGACAGUUCACUUUCAUAUUAAAGUUAAUUCUAUAAACUACAGAAUCGAACACAUCGUCUAAUGAUAUAGUUCCAUAGUGACACGUGUACUAUGAGAGACCAUUAAAUAAAGUGUAAGGUAUAAAAUUUCCAUCGACUUAUUCAUCUAUUGCGUGUUGUGCUCGAGGCGCUCAUUGCCAAUUAAUAAAAUGGCAAUGAAUGAAAGACCGGCGGAGUCGAAGAGAUAUGACGAUGAUGGAACUUACACAUACUGAGACCAAUAAUAUAAACCUUCUGGUCCGAGCGUGACAAAACGACAGAGGAAGAACAGACGCUAACAACACUUUGAACCGUGGUUCUUAUAAGUUAUUUUACAACAUAAAGGAUGUUUUCAUUUAUAUGGUCGUGUAUUAAGAGAAUGUUCGCGGUCCAGCCGAAGUUGUAAGAAGAAUUCAUAUUCCUAUGAUACGGUGCGGAGAUGUUGUGUGUGAUUAACGUUCAGGCAGUUAACGAUUAUGAUGACAAUAUUUGUUUGUUGAUGUAACGAAAUACAAAAUGAUUUCGAGGUUCUUCCAAGGCAUUCACCGACUGUAUGAGCAUUGUAACGGAUUUAUCGAAUAUGUUAAUUGUAACUGGAACGGUCACGUCCUUGUUUAUAUUUAACACAAUGUUAUUCUUCUUUCCGUUAACGUGUUUAAUGUAAUGAGAACCAAUAAAAAGAGAAAACUGCAUCAAUUUUGUAUGUACAGAACUCGCCGACAACUCACUCCGCCUACAAAUGAAGGCCCGUCGUAAUUUCAGUUGGACCAUUAUUCGGCCCGUCUCCAGCCAGCCUAGCGAGCCUAUACCUGUUACUCACGUCAUGAUUUAUUUAUCCAGAUGUCUGUUUCUAUCUUCACAGCUUUGUCCGCUCCUUGCAUGUCGUCUCAACAGGAAUCAGCUCUCUCUUGACUGUGUGCGUCUAUCUAUAAAUGCGUUUAAAUGGAAUCCUUCGAUGAAUCGCUCCGGACUUCAUUUCGACUCUCCGCUUGCAAGCUGAGCGGUGCAUUCGUUUCACAAUAAUUGAUCUGUACAUUUGAAUGACGGAUUAUAUUACACGCUUAGUUAAAUGUUUAUUGCCCCGGUUACUUUGAUAUUAUUUAUAUGUGGUUGUGUAGAUUUAUGUCGAGAAGCUGCUCUACGGAUAUGAAACAUUGGCUACCACAAACUUUUUAUAAAAAACCUUUGACUUACGUUUCUAAUUUAAAGAACCUCAAAAUAUCCAAGCAUAAUAUUUAGACUGACAAUUGUUCGAGUAGGUACAUCUACAUAUAUAUAUUGUUAUGACGUCUGUUACGUGACGCUACACGAUCGAGAUCGCGUUGACAGAUCGUUAUAAAUCGCCGGACGUUUAAUGUCUUGUCGAUAAUCAGAUAAGCUCGGUCUAGUGAAAAUGUGCUCGGGAUCCGGUUACGACGCUUGUGUAAUGUGUUAGCAACAUUCGAGUUAUCCGAGUGUAAGGGGCCGCAGACCUUGGCGGAUGGUAAGCCCCUCUAUAUAAUUCAAUGGUAUCGUCUAAUCCCGGCGCUCCUCCUCCUGACACGACGCUGUCCGCUGUCACAUCUCAUAUAAUUCGAUGACCCUAAAUCUCAAUCCCCACCGAGCUGGAACGUUCCGUGACUUGUAACCAAAUUUAAAGGCUUCGAUUAAAUAAUCCCCUAUUUUGAAUUCACUGAAUAGAGGUUGUAGGAAAAUAGUACAAGAGGGAGGGCGACUCGCUCGACUGGUGGAAAGAAUGACCGAUAUAUCGUGAGCAAAUGAUGUAAGGUGACUUAACAAUGAUAUUGUGAAGGAAACAUAUCAACCCAAGAUUCAUUCUAAAAACGUUACUAAAACGUUAUAAUACGAAGGUUUGAAAUAAACACUCCCUGGCUAUGUUGAAAAUGGCAAAUCGAAAGAUCUUUUAAGUCUAUGAUGCUAAUUAUGUCUAUGUAUUUACUAGAGAUGAUUCGGUUACGCACAAACAUUAACUAUAGGACAAACGGAUUUCAACAAAAAGAAAAACGGAAUAUUUGGAAAUAAUAAUAAGUUUUACAAUACAAAUGUCAUGAAUAGUUUGUACAGUAUUGUUGUCAAGGUUGACCUUAAACAAUCUGGGAGUGUGGUGGGUUGUGGGCCGCGAGCUGUGGGCGUACUGCGGAGUGUGUUUUAUCCUAACGUGUUUUGUUUUUUGGGCUGCGAGUGACGUCAGUGGGCGGUGGCGGCGAUAAAACGAAAACUAUAGCGCCAGUUCCCAAAUGCUGCUACGAUUUAACUGCAGAUUAUUUGGCGUGCUAUAGCUGGCUCCGUAAUGUGCUGUAAUAGUUACAGUUCCUGUUUUGUACGUCCUAACUUGCUCUCGGAUAUAAUUUUUGAUUACAAAUGACAGCAUCGUCUUCGUGCUUUCUAAUACCUCUACGAUUGUUAUUAAGAGAAUAUUCUUUCCAGCGAAUUACAGGUCUAAGUAUUAAAGUCGUAUUGAGGUGACGAAAUACUAAAUCCAUAUUUGUUCUGCUAAGUGUCUUUAAAACGCUUUACCUGUUUGUUAAACAUUCAUGAAAGAUGAACAGAAACCCGUACCUGGGUAUGUGUGUAUAUAUAUGUGUGUGUGUGUGUGUGUUUAUACCCGCCAUAUCGAGUACGGAACCCGGCUUAUCAUCUUUAUUUGUGUUACGCCUUUUGCUCUAUCGAAACAGCUCUCGCACGCGGCAUCACCCACGACUGGAUGUGGCUUUUAUAGUCGAAGCUUCCACGAAAUAGAAAGAUCGUCAAUUAUAAGAUGCAACAUUAUAAGGAAAGAUCUAUUAAUAAAAAUUAAACACUAUUGUCUACAGUUAUAACACUCAGCCAAUGUACAUAAAACAGAGAGUUUACUUUUUAUUGAGUUUGUCUCGGUGACGUUUUAAGAAUAUCUUAAACGUGGGAAAAAUUACUGCCUUUAAUAGGCACAGUGAAAUCGUAGGAAGAAUUGAGUAAUUGUACAAAUAAACAUAUCACAUUUACAUAGCGCUUGAUAAGCGAUCAGUGACCGAUAACAGUCGAGGGGGAGGGUUACGGGGAGGUGGAACUCUCUCAGAAAGGCCUCCUGGAACAACCGAGGCCACUUCGUUCAACUAGUAUAUAGAAAACACUUGCCGAAAAAAUAUGAAGUAAUAAAUACAUCACACAUAAUAAAUACAUAAGUUCAUGUAAUACAGUCGUUUAAAUUGUCGAACUCGUUACUCGACACGUUAUGAAUGCGAGGACUCUGUUGAUGAAAUAUAUCAAACAACAUAUUCCGCGCCGCGACCACGUCCAAUGUUGUGUUCAUAAUCGCGGCCAGAAAUGAAUCGACGAGGAAUGGUUACUAAGAUUCUAGUUUAUUACAACAUCGCUCAGAUACAGACCUCUCCACCACCACCACCACCACCUCUAUGUAUCAUCCUUACGAUAUUUGUUAAAGGUUCCGAUUGUGGUAUUAAGAAUAAUAAUGAGGCACUGUACAGUGAGAGUCUCACUACACUCUCAGACAUGACUCCGAGCUGUAGGUCCUUCUCAAAAUCGUUAUUGAUAAAUAGGCUAUAGAAACUAAAAUAGUAGAGAAAAAAUGUACUUUAAGACACUUCAGUCGGCAGACUCAUAACAAUACAGAGACACGUACAGCGCGUGUCGUUCAUGCCUUAUUUACUUUUCAUA